UACGUAGGGUGCAAGCGUUGUCCGGAAUUAUUGGGCGUAAAGAGCUCGUAGGCGGUCUGUUGCGUCGGCUGUGAAAACCCGGGGCUCAACUCCGGGCCUGCAGCCGAUACGGGCAGACUAGAGUUCGGCAGGGGAGACUGGAAUUCCUGGUGUAGCGGUGAAAUGCGCAGAUAUCGGGAGGAACACCAAUGGCGAAGGCAGCUCGCUGGGACGGUACUGACGCUGAGACGCGAAAGCGUGGGGAGCAAACAGG
rnacentral:rRNA from 1 species